ACAAUGGAGGAGUGGUGGUGGGAAUGGUAUCGAGAGUAAAGAAAGUGGUGGUGCAAUGCCCUAUGCAGCCAGUAGUAUAGGAACUCCACUGGACCAGCAUGAACCAUAAAUGUCCAGAUCAUCCCAUCUGUCCUCCACCAGAGAUACAAAUGUGGAAAUGCCAACAUCAAGUGUAAAGAAUCAAUAUCACCUUCAGCAACUUGCUUGUGGCAACACAGAAGAUCCAGAGCACAAGUAUCUAGAAAAGCAAGCAAUUUUGGAGACAAUUUUUCUUAGUUUCAACGUGGACAUACAGAAGCAUUGUUACACAAAUCUUAGUUUGGAGGCACAACACACAGUAUAAGAGGUGAUGCGAAAGAAGAGAAGAGAACCACCUUGUAGUUCCCAAGCCAUGUCCAUGGCCACUCAGUGAGAAUCCCUGGUUUUGUAGCCAUUUUUCAUCAACUGGUCAGCUUUCUUCCCCAACUUGAAGUUUGGCACAAUGAGCACUACAUAUAUAUAGCAAAACAAUGGUUUUGCUAACUCUAUACUACCUUAAUCUCAUUAAAGUCCAUCAAAUACCUACCUGGGGUGGGCAGCUGUCUUACUAUACUCCUAAAUUAUCAAUGCACUUGGAGAAACAUAAAAAGUUUGGCUACCUAAUAUUACACUUAUAAUUGUUACAA